AUCAAUAAGCGGAGGAAAAGAAACCAACCGGGAUUGCCUCAGUAACGGCGAGUGAAGCGGCAAGAGCUCAAAUUUGAAAGCUGGCUCCUUCGGGGUCCGCAUUGUAAUUUGCAGAGGAUGCUUCGGGUGCGGCCCCUGUCUAAGUGCCCUGGAACGGGCCGUCAGAGAGGGUGAGAAUCCCGUCUGGGAUGGGGUGUCCGCGCCCGUGUGAAGCUCCUUCGACGAGUCGAGUUGUUUGGGAAUGCAGCUCUAAAUGGGUGGUAAAUUUCAUCUAAAGCUAAAUACUGGCCGGAGACCGAUAGCGCACAAGUAGAGUGAUCGAAAGAUGAAAAGCACUUUGAAAAGAGAGUUAAAAAGCACGUGAAAUUGUUGAAAGGGAAGCGCUUGCGACCAGACUCGCCUCCAGGGUUCAGCCGGCAUUCGUGCCGGUGUACUUCCCUGGGGGCGGGCCAGCGUCGGUUUGGGCGGCCGGUCAAAGGCUCCCGGAAUGUAGUGCCCUCCGGGGCACCUUAUAGCCGGGAGUGCAAUGCGGCCAGCCUGGACCGAGGAACGCGCUUCGGCACGGACGCUGGCAUAAUGGUCGUAAACGA
rnacentral:rRNA from 1 species